rnacentral:rRNA from 1 species
AUGCCUUCUUAUUUUGAUAAUAGUGUGAAAGAAUUUAUGAUUUCUCAAAAGAAUUUUAAUGCUUUGCUUGAAGAAAAAUUGCUCAAAGUUGAUGAUUUGGCUAGGAACGUUGAUAGACUUUCGCUUGAUGUUGAUUCUCUUAAACUUAGAUCCUCUUAUCCCAAGCAUGCUAUCAAUGAGUCUCUCAAAGUAAUGAGAAUUUCCAUUGACGAGUGCAAGGAAAGAACUGCUAGAUUGUGUGCUAAAAAAGAUAGCUUUAUAAAAGCGUGGUGUUCUAGUUUCCAUGAAAAUAAUGAUGAGGAUCUUAAAGUUAUUGAUGCGUCUCCUAUUAGACCUAUGUUUUGCAAUAAGAAUUUGAUGAUUACGGGACUAAUGAUGAAUCAACUUUGCCUAGAAGGCGUCCCAAAAAUUCGGAGUCUUUAG